AUCUUUGCACUUGGGGCAAUGACGCAGCUAAUGAGGUUCUAACCGAGCCACACCUAUUGCUGGUUGAAAACUAUUUCCAAAACCCCUCUUCGGCCUGGGUUCAACCUUGGCUGUCGAGAACUUUGGAAGGGCUCUCCUCAGGGUAAAGCACUAAAGCU